rnacentral:rRNA from 1 species
UACGUAGGGUGCAAGCGUUAAUCGGAAUUACUGGGCGUAAAGCGUGCGCAGGCGGUGAUGUAAGACAGAUGUGAAAUCCCCGGGCUCAACCUGGGAACUGCAUUUGUGACUGCAUCGCUAGAGCACGGCAGAGGGGGAUGGAAUUCCGCGUGUAGCAGUGAAAUGCGUAGAUAUGCGGAGGAACACCGAUGGCGAAGGCAAUCCCCUGGGCCUGUACUGACGCUCAUGCACGAAAGCGUGGGGAGCAAACAGG